UACGUAGGUGGCAAGCGUUGUCCGGAUUUACUGGGCGUAAAAGAGCGCGCAGGCGGUCAGAUAAGUCGAAUGUGAAAGCCCCCGGCUCAACUGGGGAGGGUCAUUCGAUACUGUUCGACUCGAAGGCAGGAGAGGGAAGUGGAAUUCCCGGUGUAGUGGUGAAAUGCGUAGAUAUCGGGAGGAACACCAGUGGCGAAGGCGACUUCCUGGCCUGUUCUUGACGCUGAGGCGCGAAAGCUAGGGGAGCAAACGGGG
rnacentral:rRNA from 1 species